rnacentral:rRNA from 1 species
UACGUAGGUGGCAAGCGUUGUCCGGAAUUAUUGGGCGUAAAGCGCGCGCAGGCGGUUCCUUAAGUCUGAUGUGAAAUCUCGCGGCUCAACCGCGAGCGGCCAUUGGAAACUGGGGAACUUGAGUGCAGGAGAGGGGAGCGGAAUUCCACGUGUAGCGGUGAAAUGCGUAGAGAUGUGGAGGAACACCAGUGGCGAAGGCGGCUCUCUGGCCUGUAACUGACGCUGAGGCGCGAAAGCGUGGGGAGCGAACAGG